GCCUACGGAAAGAAAUACUAAUCAGGAAGUCUGCUGGGGGAAUGCUGACUUCUCCCCAAAGUCUUCCUCUGGGGACGCCAGGGUUGCCUCAUUAACUUUGACAACAGUGCUUUGCUUCAGGGUUGAGGUGUGGUGUUUCUGUUCACCGUUCCAGUCUGGCUGGGACAAGCACCACAGCAAAUGAGUUGUCAGAGAGAAGACCCAGGAGAUGGUCAGUGUUCUUGUUCAGGUUGUCUAGAAGGAUGAAGCUGAAACAGAGCUUGAGAGUUCCACAAUGGCUGUGUUCAUCAUCAGGGAGGAUCCUCCACAGCCUGCACAAAGCAUACAAAUGGUAUCAAAACACACCAUUGAUGCACUACUAAAG